GGAGUUAGCCGGUGCUUCUUCUGUGAGUGAUGUCCUUCCUGCCGGCUAUUAACCCGCAGGCCUUCUUCCUCACUGAAAGUGCUUUACAACCCGAAGGCCUUCUUCACACACGCGGCAUGGCUGGAUCAGGGUUGCCCCCAUUGUCCAAUAUUCCCCACUGCUGCCUCCCGUAGGAGUCUGGGCCGUGUCUCAGUCCCAGUGUGGCUGAUCAUCCUCUCAGACCAGCUACGGAUCGUCGCCUUGGUGAGCCGUUACCUCACCAACCAGCUAAUCCGACAUAGGCUCAUCCGAUAGCGCGAGGCCCGAAGGUCCCCCGCUUUCCCCCGUAGGGCGUAUGCGGUAUUAGCCUGGGUUUCCCCAGGUUAUCCCCCACUACCGGGCAGAUUCCUAUGCAUUACUCACCCGUCCGCCGCUCGCCACCAGGGAGCAAGCUCCCCGUGCUGCCGCUCGACUUGCAUGUGUUAGGCCUGCCGCCAGCGUUCAUCUGAGCCAGAAUCGAACCCUGA
rnacentral:rRNA from 1 species